rnacentral:lncRNA from 1 species
UCCGUUGGUCUGGAUUGGUGCUGAGUGCACCAUGCAGGAUCAAAGCCAAGCUCGGGAGAUCCAUCCCACAAUUCUAUAUAUUAACUUGAGAUGAAAUUAAGGGAUAAUUUGUCAACAUAGAGACAACCAAGAAACACGUACCUUGAAAAAUAUGUUUCGAAAUCAGGCGGGGGAGGUGGAGCACCAAAUCCUGAUUUCCAAUCAUGAUGUAUAUGGGACGGGAAGCGGUGGAUAGAGAUUUGUAGAUCUGUGAUGAAGGUUAGCAAACGGCGGGAGAGGGAACUGUUGUGAUAUGGAUUUGCAGACGACGGGGUGGUAUUUGAGAAUGAUUUACAGAUGGAUGGAGAGAGAUUUGAGAAGGAUUGGGAGAUUGGAUUUGAGAACGAUUUGCAGAGAGGGAUGAAGAGAGAUUUGAGAAGGAUUUACAGAUCAAUUGAUAAUUGAAUUCUGUAACGGUGAUUGAGCAUGAGAUUUGCAUAUUGAUGGAUAGAAAUUUGAGAAGGAUUUGCAAAUCUAAACUUGUAACGGUAAUUGUUUAAAGUAUUUGCAAAACUUAAG